GGUAGGACCUUUGGUGGAACGUCGGUCAAAGCUAUUUUGGAAUUGGAUUUGAAAUUUGACCGAUCAUCUACUCGAUUUUGGAACAUCCUUUGCUCAAAAUCAGAAGAAGUUCUGUGAGUGGAAGGUGUUCAACUUGAAAAGUUUUACCACUUUUAUAUUGGUCAAGGUUCAAGUUCUUAUAUAAAAUUUGUUUUUAUUUGCUUCACAAAUGAUUCUCAACAGGAGGGAGUUUUAACACUUGGUUCAAAAUCUAAGGUAUUUUUGGACCUUAACUCUCAGAAAUUUGGAGUUAGCUUUGAUUUGCUUCUUAAUCAUCUCGAUGAUUAUUUGAUUUAGGUUCUUAGUUACUC
rnacentral:lncRNA from 1 species